UUCUCGCUGACGAGCGGCGGACGGGUGAGUAAUACUUAGGAAUCUACCUAGUAGUGGGGGAUAGCUCGGGGAAACUCGAAUUAAUACCGCAUACGACCUACGGGAGAAAGGGGGCAACUUGUUGCUCUCGCUAUUAGAUGAGCCUAAGUCGGAUUAGCUAGAUGGUGGGGUAAAGGCCUACCAUGGCGACGAUCUGUAGCUGGUCUGAGAGGAUGAUCAGCCACACCGGGACUGAGACACGGCCCGGACUCCUACGGGAGGCAGCAGUGGGGAAUAUUGGACAAUGGGGGCAACCCUGAUCCAGCCAUGCCGCGUGUGUGAAGAAGGCCUUUUGGUUGUAAAGCACUUUAAGCAGUGAAGAAGACUCCAUGGUUAAUACCCAUGGACGAUGACAUUAGCUGCAGAAUAAGCACCGGCUAACUCUGUGCCAGCAGCCGCGGUAAUACAGAGGGUGCAAGCGUUAAUCGGAAUUACUGGGCGUAAAGCGAGCGUAGGUGGCUUGAUAAGUCAGAUGUGAAAGCCCCGGGCUUAACCUGGGAACGGCAUCUGAU
rnacentral:rRNA from 1 species